CAACCCUCAAGCUCAGCUUGGUAUUAGGUCUCACCUGCUACAGGUGGGCCGUAAAAUCAGUGGCGGUGCCAUUCGGCUUCAAGCGUAGUAAAUUUUCUCGCUCAGGAGUACCGGUUGCGUACCUGCUAAAAACACCAAUAUUUUUUAAA
rnacentral:misc_RNA from 1 species